rnacentral:rRNA from 1 species
GUCGAGCGAACAGACGAGGAGCUUGCUCCUCUGACGUUAGCGGCGGACGGGUGAGUAACACGUGGAUAACCUACCUAUAAGACUGGGAUAACUUCGGGAAACCGGAGCUAAUACCGGAUAAUAUAUUGAACCGCAUGGUUCAAUAGUGAAAGACGGUUUUGCUGUCACUUAUAGAUGGAUCCGCGCCGCAUUAGCUAGUUGGUAAGGUAACGGCUUACCAAGGCAACGAUGCGUAGCCGACCUGAGAGGGUGAUCGGCCACACUGGAACUGAGACACGGUCCAGACUCCUACGGGAGGCAGCAGUAGGGAAUCUUCCGCAAUGGGCGAAAGCCUGACGGAGCAACGCCGCGUGAGUGACGAAGGUCUUCGGAUCGUAAAACUCUGUUAUUAGGGAAGAACAAAUGUGUAAGUAACUAUGCACGUCUUGACGGUACCUAAUCAGAAAGCCACGGCUAACUACGUGCCAGCAGCCGCGGUAAUACGUAGGUGGCAAGCGUUAUCCGGAAUUAUUGGGCGUAAAGCGCGCGUAGGCGGUUUUUUAAGUCUGAUGUGAAAGCCCACGGCUCAACCGUGGAGGGUCAUUGGAAACUGGAAAACUUGAGUGCAGAAGAGGAAAGUGGAAUUCCAUGUGUAGCGGUGAAAUGCGCAGAGAUAUGGAGGAACACCAGUGGCGAAGGCGACUUUCUGGUCUGUAACUG